AGUGAACGCUGGCGGUAUGCCUAACACAUGCAAGUCGAACGGCAGCACAGUAAGAUCUUGCUCUUACUGGUGGCGAGUGGCGGACGGGUGAGGAAUACAUCGGAAUCUACUUUUUCUUGGGGGAUAACGUAGGGAAACUUACGCUAAUACCGCAUACUACCUACGGCUUAAAGCAGAGGAGCUUCGGACCUUUCGCGAUUGAUUGAGCCGGUGUCGGAUUAGCUAGUUGGGGGGGUAAAGGCCCACCAAGGCAACGAUCCGUAGCUGGUCUGAGAGGAUGAUCAGCCACACUGGAACUGAGACACGGUCCAGACUCCUACGGGAGGCAGCAGUGGGGAAUAUUGGACAAUGGGCGCAAGCCUGAUCCAGCCAUACCGCGUGGGUGAAGAAGGCCUUCGGGUUGUAAAGCCCUUUUGUUGGGAAAGAAAAGCAGCAGGUGAAUACCCCGAUGUUCUGACGGUACCCAAAGAAUAAGCACCGGCUAACUUCGUG
rnacentral:rRNA from 1 species